GCUCCUGUGGCGCAAUUGGCAGACGCGACAGCCUUAAAAUCUGUUUGUUUGCGGGUUCGAGUCCCGCCAGGAGUA
rnacentral:tRNA from 3 species